GUUCACACACUCUGCAUUAUAUACACACUCUGCAUUAUAUACACAGAGUGUGUGUAUAUAAUGCAGAGUGUGUGUAU